rnacentral:rRNA from 1 species
UGGCCUCGGUUAACGAGGAGGAAGGUGGGGAUGACGUCAAGUCCUCAUGGCCUUUAUGUCCAGGGCUACACACGUGCUACAAUGGGCGGUACAAAGGGUUGCUAUCCUGCGAGGGUGAGCUAAUCCCAAAAAGCCGUUCUCAGUUCCGGAUCGGAGUCUGCAACUCGACUCCGUGAAGUUGGAAUCGCUAGUAAUCGUGGAUCAGCAUGCCACGGUCGAAUACGUUCCGGGCCUU